UACGGAGGGGGCGAGCGUUAUUCGGAAUUAUUGGGCGUAAAGGGCGCGUAGGCGGCUGAACAAGUCAAAGGUGAAAUCCCUCGGCUCAACUGAGGAACUGCCUUUGAAACUGUUCGGCUUGAGGCCGGGAGGGGGUAGCGGAAUUCCCAGUGUAGCGGUGAAAUGCGUAGAUAUUGGGAGGAACACCAGUGGCGAAGGCGGCUACCUGGACCGGUUCUGGCACGCUGAGGCGCGAAAGCGUGGGUAGCAAACAGG
rnacentral:rRNA from 1 species